UAUAUUGGGGCCUGUGGCAUAUUAAUAGCCUUUAAAUUAUUCCUGUGCAUUUUUGCCAUUUAUGAUGAUUGUGUCAAUGCCAUUGCACUUUCCCCUCUAUUGUCGCUACUGUUUAGUUCCACGCUGGUGCUAUUGGACUGUU